rnacentral:rRNA from 1 species
CUGAUGCAAGGUUAAGCAGAAAAUGUGGAGCCGUAGCGAAAGCGAGUCUGAAUAGGGCGUAUAGUAUUUGGUCGUAGACCCGAAACCAGGUGAUCUACCCAUGGUCAGGUUGAAGUUCAGGUAACACUGAAUGGAGGACCGAACCGACUUACGUUGAAAAGUGAGCGGAUGAACUGUGGGUAGCGGAGAAAUUCCAAUCGAACUUGGAGAUAGCUGGUUCUCUCCGAAAUAGCUUUAGGGCUAGCCUCAAGUGAUGAUUAUUGGAGGUAGAGCACUGUUUGGACGAGGGGCCCCUCUCGGGUUACCGAAUUCAGACAAACUCCGAAUGCCAAUU